GCAUAUUUAUUGCAAUUUUUUUUUAUAUGGCAUUAAAUUUAGUAUACAAAUAUUGAAAAUUUAAUUUAGAAAUGCAUUUAAUGUUUUAUUAAGACAUUUAAUUUGCAACUAUAUUUAAUGUUGGAUAUUACAAAAAACAUUUGUUAAGACAUUUGUUAAUGAAUGCCAAACAUAAAACCAGAAAAAUUUGCACUAUCCACCAUUGAUGUUAACAAAAAUUACGUUGGCCUCCCCUGUGAUUCUUAUUUUAAAAUGCCCUUGUUUUUAAAAAUGAACUUCAAUCACAUUUCUUGCUACUUAAAACCGUUUAAUCAAGCCAAGGAAUUUUAAAUAUAAUUUAGAAACUUUUUUAUAUUUAUACAUUUAUCCUCCUUUACAAAUGGCAAUCCAAUUUUCUUAUCAAUAUGUGUUUAGAAACAAAAGGAAUUUUUUUUUUAAUCACAAUUCAGUAACAAUGAAAAAUCUAAAAAAGUAUCAAUAUUGCACAAUUAAAUAUAUCCCAACAAAUGAAUAUAAGAUUUCCCAUGAAAAAUAACAUUAUUCUUAGGAAUAUGAUCAAAAAAACUUUAUGGUGCACUAUUUUUCCUUGUUUAGUGAAUUUAAGUCUGAAUAGAAGCUACCCAGAAAUUUGCAGAAGCAUUCCUAUAUUUCAUUGAGUUAACAAUUUUCUUACUAAUUUAUGUUUACAAAAGCUAAUAAUGGGUAGAGGCCGAAGUUGGUCUAGAGGAAAUUGCAAAAACUAUAUCCUUUGACAAUGAAGGGUAAAAGCAAAUGUACAAAAAAUAUUUAAUUUAAAUUUUUUAAUUUUUUGAUAUUAGAUUUAAUGUUUUAACAUUAUAGGCAGGUGAGUGCAAAAAUUCUUUUUGAAAAGUUAUGGAUGUUUGGUAACAAUUUGAAAGAAGGGAGAUGUCAAUAUAAUUUUAGUAAACCUCAAAGGAGGUCAGUACAAUUUUUCUAAUGUAAAGUUAAUGUACAUUCAUUAUGUCUACCAAUCAUUAUAUAUUUGAACAUGUUUUGUAAUUGUACAGCUGACAAUCACCAGUUAUAAAUAAGAAGGAAAAUGCAUUUCAAGUGUUACCAAAUAUCUUUUUUGAGCACUAGAAAAAUGAGUCCAAUGAUCACAGCCCAACUCUAUUGUUUUGUGUUUAUUCAAAUGAGAACUUUGAAGCCCGAAGAGGGAAAGGUUCCAUGUGAAUGGCACUUGCACAUGGGUUAGUCAAUCCUAAGAGACGGGAGAAGCCCAUCUGAUAGUGUGCUAAGCAAGAGCUUCGAAAGGGAAUCAGGUUAAAAUUCCUAAACUGGGACAUGGCGGCUAACGGCAACGUUAAGGACUCUGGAGAUGUCAACGGGGACCUCAUGAAGAGUUGUCUUUUCUGUUUAAUAGCCUCCCACCCUGGAAACUGCUCAACUGGAGGUAGGGUCCAGCGGCUAGAAGAGCAUUGCACGUCGAGCGGUGUCCAAUACGCCCCCGGCGGCCCUUCAAGAUCCGGAGGACCAAGUGCCUCCCACUCCCAGUCGUACUCAUAAUCGCAUCAAGUCUCCAAGGUGAACAGCCUCUGGUCAAUGGAACAAUGUAGGCAAGGGAAGUCAGCAGAAUGGAUCCAUAACCUCAGGAAAAGGAUUGGCUUUGAGGGCUGGGCACAGGGGUCCUAGUCCCGAACCCGUCGGCUGUCGGCAGAAUGCUCGAGUUGCUCCUACGGCGAGUGUAGGUCACCGUGUGCCGGCCGAGGGACAGAUUAGGAACGACUGCCUCGGUGGUCUUUCCCAGGCGUCGAACAGUCGAUUUAGAACUGGUACGGAUAAGGGGAAUCCAACUGUUUAAUUAAAACAAAGCAUUGUGAUAGUCCCUACGGAUGCUCACGCAAUGUGAUUUCUACCUAGUGCUUUGAAUGUCAAAGUGAAGAAAUUCAACCAAGCGCGGGUAAACGGCGGGAGUAACUAUGACUCUCUUAAGGUAGCCAAAUGCCUCGUCAUCUAAUUAGUGACGCGCAUGAAUGGAUUAACGAGAUUCCCACUAUCCCUAUCUACUAUCUAGCAAAACCAUAGCCAAGGGAACGGGCUUGGCAGAAUCAGCAGGGAAAGAAGACCCUGUUGAGCAUGACUCUAGUUUGACUUUGUGAAAUGACUUGAGAGGUGUAAGAUAAGUGGGAGCCGAAAAGCGAAAGUGAAAUACCACUACUUCUAACAUUAUUUUACUUAUUCUGUGAAUUAAAAGCGGGGCUCUGCCCCUCUUUUUGGACCCAAGGCUCGCCUCGGCGGGCCUAUCUAAGUGGAAGACAUCGUCAGAUGGGGAGUUUGGCUGGGGCGGCACAUUUGUUAAAAGAUAAUGCAGGUGUCCUAAGAUGAGCCCAACAAGAACAGAAAUCUCGUGUGGAACAAAAGGGUAAAAGCUCGUUUGAUUCUGAUUUCCAGUACGAAUACGAACCGUGAAAGUAUGGCCUAUCGAUCCUUUAGAUCUUUAGAAUUUAAAGUUAGAGGUGUCAAAAAAGUUACCACAGGGAUAACUGGCUUGUGGUAGCCAAGCGUUCAUAGCGACGUUGCUUUUUGAUCCUCCGAUGUCGGCUCUUCCUAUCAUUGUGAAGCAGAAUUCACCAAGUAUUGGAUUGUUCACCCACCAAUAGGGAAUGUGAGUUGGUUUUAGACCAUCAUGAGACAAGUUAGUUUUACCCUGCUGAUGAUAAUGUCGCAAUAGUAAUUCAACCUAGUACGAGAGGAACUGUUUAUUCGCACAAUUAGUUAUCACGCUUGGUUGAAAAGCCAGUGGCGCGAAGCUACCAUGCGCUAGAUUAUGACUGAACGCCUCUAAGUUAGAAUCCGAGUUAACAACGAUGCAUUCUCCUGCCGCCCGAUUGCCGACCUACAAUAGGGACCCUCGAGCCCCCAAAGGCACCUGUCUUUAGCUAAGCCCCCAUGGCGGAUGAGCCGCAUGGGCUGCCUUGAAGUAUAAUUCUAUAAUUCCCACC
rnacentral:rRNA from 1 species